rnacentral:tRNA from 1 species
CAGGGAGACAAAUCAGAUUGUGAUGUCUAAAUGUUGAUUUUAGGACAUAAUCCUGUCACCUUAGGUCGAUCGGUAUCUCAGUUUAAUAUUAACUAACUAAAUUAAUUUAGUUAGUUAAAGUUAUUGAAUUCAGUUCCUAAACUUUGUCUAGGUCACACCCAACAAGGGUACUCCUGGGCCAUUAGCUCAGGUGGUUAGAGCGCACCCCUGAUAAGGGUGAGGUCCCUGGUUCAAGUCCAGGAUGGCCCAUUCGGUGUUGGGGGUAUAGCUCAGUUGGUAGAGCGCCUGCUUUGCAAGCAGGAUGUCAGCGGUUCGAGUCCGCUUACCUCCACUGAUCAACCUCCUGAUAACGAAGCUUAAGGAGAUUUUGUUUACUGUGAUCUAGAUUUGUUCUGUGAGAAUGAACCUAGCUUCUUAUUAAAAAGACUAUUAAUUUAGUUUCUUGAUAGGACGCUGGGCUCACUGCAAUAUUAAUUGCAGAGUUCUUCAGUAGAACCUUGACAACUGCAUAGGUGAGUCUGGAAAAAAUAAAGCAUCUCAUGGAUGCAUUGUUUUGAUUCAUAGCUUAAGUCCUAAAUUAUUUAGAACUUAAACCUAUAUUUUCAAUAAUAAUGUUUAAUUCUUGAGCAAGAGCUGAGACUCUAUAAUUCCUUUCAUUGUAUAAUUGCAAUGAGAGUUAGAUAUUUAAUUUUCCUUUUUGGUUGAAUUAAAUAGAAAGUAUUUAUAGAGAUUAAU